rnacentral:rRNA from 1 species
CCUACGGGAGGCAGCAGUGGGGAAUAUUGGACAAUGGGGGCAACCCUGAUCCAGCCAUGCCGCGUGUGUGAAGAAGGCCCUCGGGUUGUAAAGCACUUUCAGUGAGGAAGAACGCCUGGUGGUUAAUACCCAUCAGGAAAGACAUCACUCACAGAAGAAGCACCGGCUAACUCCGUGCCAGCAGCCGCGGUAAUACGGAGGGUGCGAGCGUUAAUCGGAAUUACUGGGCGUAAAGCGCGCGUAGGUGGCUUGAUAAGCCGGUUGUGAAAGCCCCGGGCUCAACCUGGGAACGGCAUCCGGAACUGUCAAGUUAGAGUGCAGGAGAGGAAGGUAGAAUUCCCGGUGUAGCGGUGAAAUGCGUAGAGAUCGGGAGGAAUACCAGUGGCGAAGGCGGCCUUCUGGACUGACACUGACACUGAGGUGCGAAAGCGUGGGUAGCAAACAGGAUUAGAUACCCGUGUAGUC